GAAAGCUUACAUCUCUUCGGAGCAUUUUACGAGGUGCUGCAUGGUUGUCGUCAGCUCGUGCCGUGAGGUGUCGGGUUAAGUCCCAUAACGAGCGCAACCCCUACCUUUAGUUGCCAUCAGGUUAAGCUGGGGACUCUAAAGGAACUGCCUACGUCAAGUAGUGAGGAAGGCGGGGAUGACGUCAAAUCAGCACGGCCCUUACGUCCAGGGCUACACACGUGCUACAAUGGCCGAUACAGAGGGCAGCUACCUGGUGACAGGAUGCAAAUCUCCAAAGUCGGUCUCAGUUCGGAUCGGAGUCUGCAACCCGACUCCGUGAAGUUGGAUUCGCUAGUAAUCGCGCAUCAGCCAUGGCGCGGUGAAUACGUUCCCGGGCCUU
rnacentral:rRNA from 1 species